rnacentral:tmRNA from 1 species
GCAAUUUCCAGUAUAAAGAUUAUAAUCAAUUCGUCACUUAUGUGAUGAUGAUUCUGAACCCGAUGCGGAAUAGUCGUUUUGGACCCGGGGGCGGUACCCGGCACCUCCACCAAUAAAACAUACGGGGGUGUCACAGUUUCGACAGACGCAAUAAAGGCAUAUGGCUGAAUCCGACAUGGUUGUCGUUAAAUACCAAUAAAAACAUGAAUGGCGAUAGAAUCGCUGCGAACGACAAUGUUCGCCUUGCAAUGGCCGCCUAAUAAUGGCUUGGACGCGGUUGGCGAUUGUUAACCUGUCCGUUUUGGCUUUUGCGGGGUUUGCCGGGUACCUGGCACCAGAAACCC